AUGAAGAUUACUUGAAUAUCUUGUUAAAAAGCAGAAUCUAAUCCAGAAGGUCUGGGUUUGCAUUUCUAAAUGAACUCCCAGGUAAUGCUGAU
rnacentral:pre_miRNA from 1 species